AGUCAAACAUCUAAGUACCCCGAGGAGAAGAAAUCAACCGAGAUUCCGGUAGUAGCGGCGAGCGAACCUGGAUUAGCCCUUAAGCACUCGGUGAAGUAGGUGAACAAGCUGGAAAGCUUGGCGAUACAGGGUGAUAGCCCCGUAACCGACGCUUCAUCGAGCGUGAAAUCGAGUAGGGCGGGACACGUGAUAUCCUGUCUGAAUAUGGGGGGACCAUCCUCCAAGGCUAAAUACUCCUGACUGACCGAUAGUGAACCAGUACCGUGAGGGAAAGGCGAAAAGAACCCCUGUGAGGGGAGUGAAAUAGAACCUGAAACCGUGUACGUACAAGCAGUAGGAGCACCUUCGUGGUGUGACUGCGUACCUUUUGUAUAAUGGGUCAGCGACUUAUAUUCAGUGGCAAGGUUAACCGUAUAGGGGAGCCGUAGCGAAAGCGAGUCUUAACUGGGCGCUCAGUCUCUGGAUAUAGACCCGAAACCGGGUGAUCUAGCCAUGGGCAGGUUGAAGGUUGAGUAACAUCAACUGGAGGACCGAACCGACUAAUGUUGAAAAAUUAGCGGAUGACUUGUGGCUAGGGGUGAAAGGCCAAUCAAACUCGGAGAUAGCUGGUUCUCCCCGAAAGCUAUUUAGGUAGCGCCUCGGACGAAUACUACUGGGGGUAGAGCACUGUUAAGGCUAGGGGGUCAUCCCGACUUACCAACCCUUUGCAAACUCCGAAUACCAGUAAGUACUAUCCGGGAGACACACGGCGGGUGCUAACGUCCGUCGUGGAGAGGGAAACAACCCAGACCGCCAGCUAAGGUCCCAAAGUAUUGCUAAGUGGGAAACGAUGUGGGAAGGCUCAGACAGCUAGGAUGUUGGCUUAGAAGCAGCCAUCAUUUAAAGAAAGCGUAAUAGCUCACUAGUCGAGUCGGCCUGCGCGGAAGAUGUAACGGGGCUAAGCAAUACACCGAAGCUGCGGCAAUGUCUUUUAGACAUUGGGUAGGGGAGCGUUCUGUAAGCCGUUGAAGGUGAAUCGUAAGGUUUGCUGGAGGUAUCAGAAGUGCGAAUGCUGACAUGAGUAACGACAAAGGGGGUGAAAAACCUCCUCGCCGGAAGACCAAGGGUUCCUGUCCAACGUUAAUCGGGGCAGGGUGAGUCGACCCCUAAGGUGAGGCCGAAAGGCGUAAUCGAUGGGAAACGGGUUAAUAUUCCCGUACUUCUGACUAUUGCGAUGGGGGGACGGAGAAGGCUAGGUGGGCCAGGCGACGGUUGUCCUGGUUCAAGUGCGUAGGCUUGAGAGUUAGGUAAAUCCGGCUCUCUCUAAGGCUGAGACACGACGUCGAGCUACUACGGUAGUGAAGUCAUUGAUGCCAUGCUUCCAGGAAAAGCCUCUAAGCUUCAGAUAGUCAGGAAUCGUACCCCAAACCGACACAGGUGGUCGGGUAGAGAAUACCAAGGCGCUUGAGAGAACUCGGGUGAAGGAACUAGGCAAAAUGGUACCGUAACUUCGGGAGAAGGUACGCUCUUGAUGGUGAAGUCCCUCGCGGAUGGAGCUGACGAGAGUCGCAGAUACCAGGUGGCUGCAACUGUUUAUUAAAAACACAGCACUGUGCAAAAUCGCAAGAUGACGUAUACGGUGUGACGCCUGCCCGGUGCCGGAAGGUUAAUUGAUGGGGUUAGCGUAAGCGAAGCUCUUGAUCGAAGCCCCGGUAAACGGCGGCCGUAACUAUAACGGUCCUAAGGUAGCGAAAUUCCUUGUCGGGUAAGUUCCGACCUGCACGAAUGGCGUAAUGAUGGCCACGCUGUCUCCACCCGAGACUCAGUGAAAUUGAAAUCGCUGUGAAGAUGCAGUGUACCCGCGGCUAGACGGAAAGACCCCGUGAACCUUUACUACAGCUUGGCACUGAACAUUGAACCUACAUGUGUAGGAUAGGUGGGAGGCUAUGAAGACGUGACGCCAGUUGCGUUGGAGCCGUCCUUGAAAUACCACCCUUGUAUGUUUGAUGUUCUAACUUAGACCCAUUAUCUGGGUUGAGGACAGUGCCUGGUGGGUAGUUUGACUGGGGCGGUCUCCUCCCAAAGAGUAACGGAGGAGCACGAAGGUGGGCUAAUCACGGUUGGACAUCGUGAGGUUAGUGCAAUGGCAUAAGCCCGCUUAACUGCGAGAAUGACGGUUCGAGCAGGUGCGAAAGCAGGUCAUAGUGAUCCGGUGGUUCUGUAUGGAAGGGCCAUCGCUCAACGGAUAAAAGGUACUCCGGGGAUAACAGGCUGAUACCGCCCAAGAGUUCAUAUCGACGGCGGUGUUUGGCACCUCGAUGUCGGCUCAUCACAUCCUGGGGCUGAAGUCGGUCCCAAGGGUAUGGCUGUUCGCCAUUUAAAGUGGUACGCGAGCUGGGUUUAGAACGUCGUGAGACAGUUCGGUCCCUAUCUGCCGUGGGCGUUGGAAGAUUGAAGGGGGCUGCUCCUAGUACGAGAGGACCGGAGUGGACGAACCUCUGGUGUUCGGGUUGUGUCGCCAGACGCAUUGCCCGGUAGCUAAGUUCGGAAUUGAUAAGCGCUGAAAGCAUCUAAGCGCGAAGCGAGCCCUGAGAUGAGUCUUCCCUGACAGUUUAACUGUCCUAAAGGGUUGUUCGAGACUAGAACGUUGAUAGGCAGGGUGUGUAAGCGUUGUGAGGCGUUGAGCUAACCUGUACUAAUUGCCCGUGAGGCUUAACCA
rnacentral:rRNA from 1 species